UUAUUUCUCAUAGACAUAUCAGACAUACAUAAUCUAUACGUACGUAUUUUUUUUCUUUUUACAUAAGCACAACAAUUAAACUCUACCAAACUAGACACUUGAUGCUACCCACAAUCCGGGCUACAUUUAUUAAGCUUAGCCCAUAUGCAACAACUACCAAACGACAUAUAAGACACGAUUAAGUCGAGCUUGUGUAGUCCCCAACAACUAAACUCGACUACAAUAGACACCAGGCGUCUCAAUCUUGGCCACAUUCACGUCCUUUAGAAACAACUACCAAUCGACAUCUGAGACACAAAUCGAGCUCGUAUCAUCCCCAACAACAACACCACCCACCACAUCAACCAUUCGAGAAUAACAACCACGACCAUUGUUAUAAUUGUAAUUCUGUUGAGUUUCUGCCGAACCCGACAGCACAAAACUACCCUUCACCACCACCAAACCAGUACAAUUCUGUUUGUGGCUCAAAACCAUCAACUCUUUACCACCAUAAAACCGCUCGCUCCGUUCUUGCACCACUUUUGUUGUCAUCACAGAGGUAUCAAUGUCUAAUCCAGGCUUCGUUUCAAUGGAGAUCUUCAAAGGAUACUUAAAUUUCACUUCUAAACUGUCAACCACCUUACCAACUUCAUUUGUGAUCUUGAUUCUAGUUUUCCUUUUGUACCUCUGAUCAACUUCUUUCUUGGUACCUUGCUCUUUAUACUUAAGUUUGCUCUUGAACUUGAUCUUUUCUGUACAUUGAGUUUUGAAGCAUGACAGUGAGUGUGAGAUUAGACUGAGAAAUAACCGAAGAAUACCUACUCACAUCCUUCCGAACAUUCCAGAAGCUUCCAUUCUCAGUCGGUUGAGUAGGUUGACGGAGCAUGACGGAGUGACGUUGUCGGUGGGGAGUGGGUGGGUGACUUCGAAGUAUUGUUUUGGAGCGGUGUCGUUUGUUGUUGAUUUGAUGAAAUGUGUUGUUGAUUGAAUUGGUUUUGUGAAGAACACAGAGAGGAUGAUGAUGAUGAUGAUGAUGAGCUUGGGGAUUGUCAUUGUUUUCGUUUUAUGUACGGGGUUUUGGUACGAAGGCGGGACGAGGUGA
rnacentral:lncRNA from 1 species